rnacentral:rRNA from 1 species
UUCCCUCUUUCUUCUUGCCUAAUACAUGCAAGUCGAGCGAACAGACGAGGAGCUUGCUCCUCUUACGUUAGCGGCGGACGGGUGAGUAACACGUGGAUAACCUACCUAUAAGACUGGGAUAACUUCGGGAAACCGGAGCUAAUACCGGAUAAUAUAUUGAACCGCAUGGUUCAAUAGUGAAAGACGGUUUUGCUGUCACUUAUAGAUGGAUCCGCGCCGCAUUAGCUAGUUGGUAAGGUAACGGCUUACCAAGGCAACGAUGCGUAGCCGACCUGAGAGGGUGAUCGGCCACACUGGAACUGAGACACGGUCCAGACUCCUACGGGAGGCAGCAGUAGGGAAUCUUCCGCAAUGGGCGAAAGCCUGACGGAGCAACGCCGCGUGAGUGAUGAAGGUCUUCGGAUCGUAAAACUCUGUUAUUAGGGAAGAACAAAUGUGUAAGUAACUAUGCACGUCUUGACGGUACCUAAUCAGAAAGCCACGGCUAACUACGUG